rnacentral:rRNA from 1 species
ACAAGGGCGCAUGGUGAAUGCCUUGGCACUAGGAGCCGAUGAAGGACGGGACUAACACCGAUAUGCUUCGGGGAGCUGUACGUAAGCUAUGAUCCGGAGAUUUCCGAAUGGGGCAACCCAGCAGUUUUAAUCAACUGUUACCACUAGAUGAAUUCAUAGUCUAGUUGGAGGUAAACGCUGUGAACUGAAACAUCUCAUUAGCAGCAGGAAUAUAAAGAAAUUUCGAUUCCCUAAGUAGCGGCGAGCGAACGGGGAACAGCCCAAACCAAAGUGCUUGCACUUUGGGGUUGUAGGACUGAACAUUUGAGUUACCAAAGAACUUGAUAGUCGAAGGAUUUGGGAAAAUCCGCCAUAGAUGGUGAUAGCCCAGUAGAUUAAAUCAAAUUCUCUCAGUUCAGGAUCCUGAGUACGGCGGAACACGUGAAAUUCCGUCGGAAUCCGGGAGGACCAUCUCCCAAGGCUAAAUACUACCUAGUGACCGAUAGUGAACCAGUACCGUGAGGGAAAGGUGAAAAGCACCCCGGGAGGGGAGUGAAAUAGUUCCUGAAACCAUGUGCCUACAAUAAGUCAGAGCGCGUUAAUGCGUGAUGGCGUGCCUUUUGUAGAAUGAACCGGCGAGUUAUGAUCCCGUGCAAGGUUAAGACUAAAAAGUCGGAGCCGUAGCGAAAGCGAGUCUGAAAUGGGCGUUUUGAGUACGAGGUUAUAGACCCGAAACCAGGUGACCUAUCCAUGUCCAGGUUGAAGGUGCGGUAAAACGCACUGGAGGACCGAACCCGUGUAAGUUGAAAAUUGCUGGGAUGAGGUGUGGAUAGCGGUGAAAUUCCAAACGAACUUGGAGAUAGCUGGUUCUCUCCGAAAUAGCUUUAGGGCUAGCCUCGGAAUUAGGAUCAUGGAGGUAGAGCACUAUUUGGACUAGGGGCCCGUCUUGGGUUACUGAAUUCAGAUAAACUCCGAAUGCCAUUGAUUCAUAUCCGGGAGUCAGACGAUGAGUGAUAAGAUCCACCGUCGAAAGGGGAACAGCCCAGACCAUCAGUUAAGGUCCCUAAAUGUAUGCUAAGUGGAAAAGGAUGUGGAGUUGCAUAGACAACUAGGAUGUUGGCUCAGAAGCAGCCACCAUUUAAAGAGUGCGUAAUAGCUCACUAGUCGAGUGAUCCUGCGCCGAAAAUGUACCGGGGCUAAGCAUACUACCGAAACCAUGGAUGCGACCAUUAGGUCGCGUGAUAGGAGAGCGUUCUAAGGGCGGUGAAGCAAGAUCGUGAGGACUUGUGGAGCGCUUAGAAGUGAGAAUGCCGGUAUGAGUAGCGAAAGAUAGGUGAGAAUCCUAUCCACCGAAUGACUAAGGUUUCCUGGGGAAGGCUCGUCCUCCCAGGGUUAGUCGGGACCUAAGUCGAGGCCGAGAGGCGUAGACGAUGGAUAACAGGUUGAGAUUCCUGUACUAGUUAAGUGCGUUUGAGCAAUGGAGGGACGCAGGAGGCUAAGAUGUGCAUUCUGUUGGAUUAGAAUGUCCAAGCAGUAAGUCUUGUGAAGAGUCAAAUGCUUUUCACUUUAAGGACAAGCUGUGAUGGGGAGCGAAAUUUAGUAGCGAAGCGUCUGAUGUCACACUGCCGAGAAAAGCUUCUAGUGAGUACUUAACUACCCGUACCGCAAACCGACACAGGUAGUCGAGGAGAGAAUCCUAAGGUGAGCGAGUGAACUCUCGUUAAGGAACUCGGCAAAAUGACCCCGUAACUUCGGGAGAAGGGGUGCUGAUCGCAAGAUCAGCCGCAGUGAAUAGGCCCAGGCGACUGUUUAUCAAAAACACAGGUCUCUGCAAAAUCGUAAGAUGACGUAUAGGGGCUGACGCCUGCCCGGUGCUGGAAGGUUAAAAGGAUGGGUUAGCUUCGGCGAAGCUCAGAAUUGAAGCCCCAGUAAACGGCGGCCGUAACUAUAACGGUCCUAAGGUAGCGAAAUUCCUUGUCGGGUAAGUUCCGACCCGCACGAAAGGCGUAACGAUCUGGGCACUGUCUCAACGAGAGACUCGGUGAAAUUAUAUUGUCCGUGAAGAUGCGGACUACCCGCGACAGGACGGAAAGACCCCAUGGAGCUUUACUGUAGCUUGAUAUUGAGUGUUUGUACAGCUUGUACAGGAUAGGUAGGAGCCAUAGAAACCGGAACGCUAGUUUCGGUGGAGGCGUUGGUGGGAUACUACCCUCGCUGUAUGACCACUCUAACCCGCACCACUAAUCGUGGUGGGAGACAGUGUCAGGUGGGCAGUUUGACUGGGGCGGUCGCCUCCUAAAAAGUAACGGAGGCGCCCAAAGGUUCCCUCAGAAUGGUUGGAAAUCAUUCGCAGAGUGUAAAGGCACAAGGGAGCUUGACUGCGAGACAGACAGGUCGAGCAGGGACGAAAGUCGGGCUUAGUGAUCCGGUGGUACCGUAUGGAAGGGCCAUCGCUCAACGGAUAAAAGCUACCCUGGGGAUAACAGGCUUAUCUCCCCCAAGAGUCCACAUCGACGGGGAGGUUUGGCACCUCGAUGUCGGCUCAUCGCAUCCUGGGGCUGUAGUCGGUCCCAAGGGUUGGGCUGUUCGCCCAUUAAAGCGGUACGCGAGCUGGGUUCAGAACGUCGUGAGACAGUUCGGUCCCUAUCCGUCGCGGGCGUAGGAAAUUUGAGAGGACCUGUCCUUAGUACGAGAGGACCGGGAUGGACAUACCUCUGGUGUACCAGUUGUGCCGCCAGGCGCAUCGCUGGGUAGCUACGUAUGGAUGUGAUAAACGCUGAAAGCAUCUAAGUGUGAAACACACCUCGAGAUGAGAUUUCCCAUUCCUUUAUGGAAGUAAGACCCCUGAAAGAUGAUCAGGUAGAUAGGUUAGAAGUGGCAGUGCGGUGACGCAUGAAGCGGACUAAUACUAAUCGGUCGAGGACUUAACC